UAAUACGGAGGAUCCAAGCGUUAUCCGGAAUCAUUGGGUUUAAAGGGUCCGUAGGCGGUCAGAUAAGUCAGUGGUGAAAGCCCAUCGCUCAACGGUGGAACGGCCAUUGAUACUGUCUGACUUGAAUUAUUAGGAAGUAACUAGAAUAUGUAGUGUAGCGGUGAAAUGCUUAGAGAUUACAUGGAAUACCAAUUGCGAAGGCAGGUUACUACUAAUAUAUUGACGCUGAUGGACGAAAGCGUGGGUAGCGAACAGGAUUAGAUACCCUGGUAGUCCACGCCGUAAACGAUGGAUACUAGCUGUUGGAAGCAAUUUCAGUGGCUAAGCGAAAGUGAUAAGUAUCCCACCUGGGGAGUACGAACGCAAGUUUG
rnacentral:rRNA from 1 species